rnacentral:rRNA from 1 species
AUGCUUGGCAUUCAGGACGCAACGAAGCAGGAAAAAUCAAAGGUGGAUCUUGCCCAGCUGAUAAACAAGAAGGACACCGACCUAAGGGUGAUUACAGUGGGCGGAAAAGGUGCUGAUCUUGGGCAUACAUCGAUCAUCCGGGCAGUUUACAAGGAUCCAGAGAUCAAAAACAAUUUUCCGUGCCGAGCAUGGGUGAGGUUGAUGCAUCCUUUCAGUCCAGAAGACUUCAUUCAAAGUUUAGUAGAGCAGCUUCACGCAUCCGAAGGAGUUGACAUUCUGCUGGAAACAAAAAAGAUGGGGAAAGAGUUAGCUGAGGAAUUCAAUGGAUAUUUCAAUGCUAAGAAGUUCCUGAUUGUGCUUAAUGACUUAUCAACCAUUGAAGAGUGGAAUCGGGUUAAGAGGUGCUUCCCAAACAAUAAGAAAGGGAGCCUGAUAAUAGUGUCUACAAGGCAAGUUGAAGUUGCAAGCUUAUGUGCAGGACAAGAAAGCAUAGUAUUUGAGCUCAAGCAGUCGUCUGUUGAUCAGAAUAUUAAUGCUUUCUAUGAGAAGUUUUUGUUAUCACUGAUCCUUCCAAACUGA